UGCAUUGCCUACUUCUAUAUUUGAGCAUGCUAACUGGUAUGCUGGUCUGUUUACUGUCAUAGUACUGACAUAAUGAGAAUGGGUAUUUGACCUCAGAGGAUAUCUUGUGUUGCAGAGAUGGGAUCACUGUUCGUCACCUACAAUGAUCUUCAGGGUACCUGUGGAAUGCCUCUCAAAAUGUUUUGAAGAGUACAUCAAUCAGAACAGAGUAAGACUCAACUCAAGCAUUUUUAGAUGUAAUUUACAUUCAGAAUGUGGAAGACUGAUGCAUUUCUAGUCUUGGAAGAAAUGAUGAAAAACCAAAAAGUAAAGGGAAUGUGAAACUCAAUUUAUGCUGGAAACUGAAAAUGACAGGGUCUUUUUGGAUGGUGGUUGGCAGCCGACAGCUCCUUCUGAAACAGAUUUUUCCAUCUCCCUUGGAAAUCCCUUUACAAGGCUGUGCGUUUUUAUUAAGAAGAGCAAAGGUGCAGAGUGAGGAAGAGUGUGAAGAGGGACUUGAGGAAUUUCCAUUAGCACAUCCCAAAAUUGCUUUGAGAGACCAGAAGCUGCUCAGAAGCACCAGUUCUCUUCUGCACAAACAGAAUUGAAACUCAGCUGCUGCCAGACUAAUAAAAUCUGUUAAUCAAAUAACAGCGAAUAUUAAAAGAAAACCCCC